rnacentral:rRNA from 1 species
AUGGCGGGCGCGGCGAGGAAGAAGCUUGUUGGGCGGUACGAGGUGGGGCGGACCAUCGGGCAGGGGUCGUUCGCCAAGGUGAAGUUCGCGGUCGACGCCGACACGGGCGCCCCCGUCGCCAUGAAGGUGCUCGACAAGGCCACCAUCCUCAACCACCGGAUGCUNNNACAGAUCAAAAAGGAGAUAUCAAUAAUGAAGAUUGUAAGACAUCCCAACAUCAUCAGGCUAAACGAGGUUCUAGCUGGACAGACAAAGAUAUACAUAAUCAUGGAGCUUAUCACUGGAGGCGAGCUGUUCGAUAAAAUAGCCCGCCAAGGGAAGCUUCGUGAAAAUGAGGCUAGGAAAUACUUCCAGCAGCUUAUUGAUGCCAUUAACUAUUGCCAUAGUAAAGGUGUCUAUCAUAGAGAUCUGAAGCCUGAAAACCUGCUUCUUGAUUCACGUGGGAACUUAAAAGUUUCUGAUUUUGGACUUAGCUCGCUGUCGCAAAACGGCUUUCUUCACACGACAUGUGGCACACCGAAUUAUGUUGCUCCUGAGGUGCUUAGCGACGGUGGCUAUGAUGGAUCUGCAGCAGAUGUUUGGUCAUGUGGUGUUAUUCUUUAUGUUUUAAUGGCUGGGUACCUUCCCUUUGAAGAAAAUGAUCUCCCAACCUUGUAUGACAAGAUAACUGCAGCUCACUUUUCAUGCCCAGAUUGGUUCUCUCAAGGAGCCAAGUCAUUGAUCCAGAGAAUACUUGAUCCAAAUCCAAAAGCUCGUAUCACUAUUAAAGAGAUGAAGGCAGACACAUGGUUUAGCAAGAAUUAUGUAGGCGUUAGACAUGGUGAAGAUGAAAACGUCAGUCUGGAUGAUGUACAGGCUGCUUUUGAUAAUAUCGAGGACAAGUAUGUAUCUGAGCAAGUGACUCGUAAUGAUGGUGGUCCUCUUAUGAUGAAUGCCUUUGAGAUGAUUACCCUAUCUCAAGGUUUAAAUCUUUCAUCAUUAUUUGAUAGACAACAGGAGUAUGUCAAACGCCAAACUCGCUUCGUAUCAAGGAAACCUGCAAAGACUAUAGCAGCUACUAUUGAAGUUGUCGCUGAUUCCAUGGGUCUCAAGGUGCAUUCCCAGAAUUACAAGUUACGUCUUGAAGGAGUAUCAUCAAACAAAAUGAGCCCAUUCGCUGUUGUUCUAGAGAUAUUUGAAGUCGCUCCCGCUUUAUUUAUGGUGGAUGUUCGAAAGGUCGCUGGUGACUCUCUGGAAUACCACAGGUUCUACAAGAGCUUAUGCAGCAAACUCGAGAGCAUAAUCUGGAGACCAAUAGAGGUUUCUGCAAAAUCUGCGUUGCUGAGGACAACUACUUGCUAG